CCUGCACCAAUCACAGCAAACACACGGAGCCUCUGAUUACAAUGAUUUCGGACAUACUAGCAACGACGACCCUUGAGCUGAUUCACCCUUUCUUUUGUGAUCAGAUUCACCUUUUUUCGAGAACACAUAGGAAGAUUGCCGCGUCAAUUCAUCAACAAGAGAAGAAAAGAAACUACUCCCCAUGCCUUUUUGCACACAUCCUCAGGCCUCAGCUCAUGUGGUUGCUGACCCAUCGAUAUCGCCGUUCGUGUGAUGUGUCCAGUGUGCUCCACGCUCACUAUCAAGCUCCAUAAUAAGUAGCUGCUCCCUCUCCAACUUGGCACACUAGAGAGUAGAGACCAGAACACAAGCUCAGCGCAGGGCCACCUGCAAGCCACAGACUGAUAGGAAAGAGGACAGGAGAGGAAGAAGAUGAGCAGAGGAGGGAGCAGCGGGGGUGGCCGGAGCUCUCUCAGCUACCUCUUCGAGCCGGAGGAAACCAUCCUGUAUCGCACUCACACGACGGCCAAAUCCAACCUGGAAACCAAGAAGUC
rnacentral:lncRNA from 1 species